AUAUUCUCAAAUGAUAUAAAGCUAUUUUUAAAUAGGCAAGUUUUUAAAUAGUGAAUGGCAAUGCCUCGUGACAUAGACGACAACUUAACGAACUCGGCUGUGCUUCUGCUUUGUGAUGAUGGAGACAUGGGAGAGGAACUGCAAUCUAGAUUUUUCUUCAAAUUUGCUUAAGCACGUUUGGAUAAAUAAAAGAAAAUUCACAUGAUUAAACUGAGAACAAUAUACUUUCGGUCGUUUCAGUGACAACAUGUAUAUUGCGGCCGAAACACGUAUGAAACGAGAUGGUGUGAAUCAGAGUAGCAGCGGUUUUUCACACGAUUUACUUUCUUUGUCUUGCGCUCAAUUAAACGUCAUCGUGUAGAAUGUUCGCUGUGGUGACGUCCCUUCUCGUUGCUAAAUUUAUGUCAUCAAAAUAUAAGACUUGCAUUAUUUCGUAAUCGAUGUUACAUCGUAUUUUCCUAUACACUUCUAUUCUUGGCUGCAUUUGUAUGAUCGUUUAUGUCAGACGCACCCGGUUUUUUAUGAGGUGUAUUUAAUUUACAGCCCUCUCUGGUGAAACAGAAACUUCUGCCGAUUUUUAUGUUCUCGUUGAACUGUUAUUUUUGUUUUAUGUCCUUCGUCAUCAACGUCUGAAAGUUUCUCUUAAUACUAUUAAUAUUUUGACGAGUAGUAAAUAAAUGGCCACAGGCUUCCA